CAGUAGCCGCGGUAAUACGAAGGGUGCAAGCGUUAAUCGGAAUUACUGGGCGUAAAGCGUGCGUAGGCGGUGAGUUAAGCCUGCUGUGAAAUCCCCGGGCUCAACCUGGGAAUGGCAGUGGAUACUGGCUCGCUAGAGUGUGUCAGAGGAUGGUGGAAUUCCCGGUGUAGCGGUGAAAUGCGUAGAGAUCGGGAGGAACAUCAGUGGCGAAGGCGGCCAUCUGGGACAACACUGACGCUGAGGCACGAAAGCGUGGGGAGCAAACAGGAUUAGAUACCCGCGUAGUCCCUGUCUCUUAUAA
rnacentral:rRNA from 1 species